rnacentral:rRNA from 1 species
UACGUAGGGACCAAGCGUUGUUCGGAUUUACUGGGCGUAAAGGGCGCGUAGGCGGCGCGGUAAGUCACUUGUGAAAUCUCCGAGCUUAACUCGGAACGGUCAACUGAUACUGUGCGGCUAGAGUGCGGAAGGGGCAACUGGAAUUCUUGGUGUAGCAGUGAAAUGCGUAGAGAUGUGGAGGAACACCGAUGGCGAAGGCAGCCUCCUGGGCCAGCACUGACGCUCAUGCACGAAAGCGUGAGGAGCAAACAGG